GCCUAACACAUGCAAGUCAACUUGACUGAAGGAGCAAUCUGACAGUAGAGUGGCGCAAGGGUGCGUAACGCGUAAGUAACUUGCCCAAGGUAAGGAAUAACGUCGAGAAAUCGGCGCUAAUACCUCAUAAUGCAGCGGAUCCGCAUGGAUAUGUUGUUAAAGGUUUACCGCCUUGGGAUAGGCUUGCGUCUGAUUAGUUAGUUGGUGUGGUAACGGCACACCAAGGCUACGAUCAGUAACUGGUCUGAGAGGAUGAUCAGUCACACUGGAACUGAGACACGGUCCAGACUCCUACGGGAGGCAGCAGUGAGGAAUAUUGGGCAAUGCUCGAAAGAGUGACCCAGCAACGCCGCGUGGAGGAUGAAGGUAUUCUAUAUCGUAAACUCCUGUGAGAGCAGACGAAAGACAGAUUAUUAAUCUGGAUGACUGUAUGCUCAGAGGAAGCCCCGGCUAACUACGUG
rnacentral:rRNA from 1 species